UGUCUUUUUCCUGAUGUACAACCACAGUACCCUGCAGCUGCAAACCCAGAGCCACAAACACCUCAGACACGUUCCGGCACAGCGACCUUGUGCCAUCACAGCCAUCCCGCCGACCCAUCAAAAACGGUCACCGCCUAAGAUCCGCCAGCAUUAACCUGAAACGCUCGCAGUUUGGCCUGCAGAGCUUUUGGUGUUAGAGGACAGACAUAUUUUUAAUGAUCAAGGAAGGACAACUGGCAAUUACAGUCACAGCGUGCUUGCAUGCUUUCGUACUAUAUUUCGCCAUCUGCAUCUUCGCUUGUUUUUUUUUUCUUUUCAGAAGUGUUUACUUCUAUGUUUUAUACAUUACAUGAACAUCAGUGCCAUUUCAGCAAUAGGUAGUUUUUAUAGGGAAGGAGUGGGAAUCGUGGUUCAAUGUUAGCCUCAACAGAAGUGCAGCGUCCACAGGGAUUCCCCAGCCUUUAGUUUAAUUAGCCCAGAUUCGAGAACUAUUUACAGAAAAAUGUCUGUACCUUUCACAAGGACAUAUUGAUCCAAACAAUUCAAGCUUGGGCCACAGCAUUGAUACAAUGUGUAGAACAUGCUUUUAAUUAUUUUAAUUGAUGUCUAUGUCUAGCCUAUCAUUGAUUUUUAAUUUGUUUACUUAGACACACUGCUCAGCUCCAAAAAGGAAGAUCCUUAUAGAAGCAUUUUCCUCUAUGCAUCAGUGUCCUUUGUGAAACAAAAUACAGAUAUAUUCAUUUUUCCCUUCCCAUUCUUUUUUAAGAAUCGACGCACUAGGCAGAUAUUCACGUUUAGUUGAUAUCAAGUACGUCGUGUGCGGAUAUUCUCCGGGAUAAAGGAGCCAGCGUUGCUGAAGAAAAGCUAAUUUGAUUUUCACUUUUAUUAUACAUUUAUUGCAUAUGGGAAAUACAGAAAUAACCCUCUGACGUAAUUCCUUUUUACAGUAUCGGUUUUUGUAGACGGCCAGAAAUUGUCAACUGUCAUGACAAACUGUUCCGGUCCGGGGACAACCGACGUUUAGCUGCUCAUAAUUUCACCCAGAUUAAACUGGUUUUGGUUGUUGAUCGAGAUGAUAUAUACGCCUAUUCAUAGUUACAAACGAUCGCAAUUUUAAUAAUUUCGCGUCACGAGACGUUCAUUUAUUUAUAACCCAAUAAAAUGUAAACAUGUUG